rnacentral:rRNA from 1 species
AGCGAACGCUGGCGGCGUGCCUAACACAUGCAAGUCGAACGUGAAAGGGAGCAAUCCCAAGUAAAGUGGCGUACGGGUGAGUAACACGUAGGUAAUCUACCCCAGAAUCUGGAAUAACCGGCCGAAAGGCUGGCUAAUACUGGAUAGAGCGACGGAAUCCGUAAUUGGGUUUUUCGGGAAAGGGAGCCUGUAAAAAGGCCUUCGUUCUGGGAUGAGCCUGCGUCCCAUCAGCUAGUUGGUGAGGUAAAAGCUUACCAAGGCAAUGACGGGUAGCUGGUCUGCGAGGACGAUCAGCCACACUGGAACUGAAACACGGUCCAGACUCCUACGGGAGGCAGCAGUGGGGAAUCUUGCGCAAUGGACGAAAGUCUGACGCAGCAACGCCGCGUGCGUGAAGAACGCCUUCGGGUUGUAAAGCUCUGUCGAGUGGGACGAAAAUGCUUGGAGUUCACAGCUCCAGGAACUGACGGUACCACUAAAGGAAGCACCGGCUAACUCCGUG